UACGAGGGGGGCAAGCGUUGUCCGGAAUUAUUGGGCGUAAAGAGCUCGUAGGCGGCCAGUUGCGUCCGCUGUGAAAUCCCGGGGCUUAACCCCGGGCGUGCAGUGGAUACGGGCUGGCUAGAGGCAGGCAGGGGAGAACGGAAUUCCCGGUGUAGCGGUGAAAUGCGCAGAUAUCGGGAGGAACACCAGUGGCGAAGGCGACUACCUGGCCUGUUCUUGACGCUGAGGCGCGAAAGCUAGGGGAGCAAACGGG
rnacentral:rRNA from 1 species